UACGUAGGUGGCAAGCGUUGUCCGGAUUUACUGGGCGUAAAGGAUGCGUAGGCGGACAUUUAAGUCAGAUGUGAAAUACCCGAGCUUAACUUGGGUGCUGCAUUUGAAACUGAGUGUCUAGAGUGCAGGAGAGGUAAGUGGAAUUCCCAGUGUAGUGGUGAAAUACGUAGAGAUUGGGAAGAACACCAGUGGCGAAGGCGGCUAUCUGGACGGUUUCUGACACUAAGACUCGAAAGCGUGGGGAGCAAACAGG
rnacentral:rRNA from 1 species